rnacentral:rRNA from 1 species
ACUCCUACGGGAGGCAGCAGUGGGGAAUCUUGGACAAUGGGGGCGAACCCUGAUCCAGCCAUGCCGCGUGAGUGAUGAAGGCCCUAGGGUCGUAAAGCUCUUUCGCCUGUGAAGAUAAUGACGGUAGCAGGUAAAGAAACCCCGGCUAACUCCGUGCCAGCAGCCGCGGUAAUACGGAGGGGGUUAGCGUUGUUCGGAAUUACUGGGGCGUAAAGCGCACGUAGGCGGAUCGGAAAGUUGGGGGUGAAAUCCCCGGGGCUCAACCCCGGAACUGCCUCCAAAACUAUCGGUCUAGAGUUCGAGAGAGGUGAGUGGAAUUCCGAGUGUAGAGGUGAAAUUCGUAGAUAUUCGGAGGAACACCAGUGGCGAAGGCGGCUCACUGGCUCGAUACUGACGCUGAGGUGCGAAAGUGUGGGGAGCAAACAGGAUUAGAUACCCUGGUAGGAUAGCG